rnacentral:rRNA from 1 species
UACAUGGGGUGCAAACGUUGCUCGGAAUUAUUGGGCGUAAAGCGCGCGUAGGCGGUUACUUAUGUCGGAUGUGAAAGCCCUCGGCUUAACUGAGGAAGUGCAUUCGAAACUGGGUAGCUAGAGUACUAAAGAGGGUCGCGGAAUUCCCGGUGUAGAGGUGAAAUUCGUAGAUAUCGGGAGGAACACCGGUGGCGAAGGCGGCGACCUGGGUAGAUACUGACGCUGAGGUGCGAAAGCGUGGGGAGCAAACAGG